CAAAAAUUAAACGACACUAAAAUUCAGAUUAGUACAUUGUAUUGCUUUUGAACACUCCUCAUUGAAGAGGCUGCUGUUCAGGCUUCCUUGUGGUGCUGGUGAGUGAGCGAGUGCCACUCACUGGUAUUGCCUUGAAGAGGCUGCUGGACAGCAGACUUCGUCGCAUGCUAUUUUCUUUAGAACAUGCCAUGAAUCCAUACAAAUUGUGGGUGCAUUGCUUUUACAGUUGCAUCCAAGAAUUGAUGCCCGGAGAGCUGAUGAAAACCUUGGAAUGCUUCUUGUAGAAUUUUUUGAACUCUAUGGGAGAAAUUUUAAUUACUUGAAAACCGGUAUUAGAAUCAAAGAAGGAGGUGCCUAUAUCGCCAAAGAGGAGAUCAUGAAAGCCAUGACCAGCGGGUACAGACCGUCGAUGCUGUGCAUUGAGGACCCCCUGCUGCCAGGGAAUGACGUUGGCCGGAGCUCCUAUGGCGCCAUGCAGGUGAAGCAGGUCUUCGACUAUGCCUACAUAGUGCUCAGCCAUGCCGUGUCGCCGCUGGCCAGGUCCUAUCCAAACAGAGACGCCGAAAGUACUUUAGGAAGAAUCAUCAAAGUAACUCAGGAGGUGAUUGACUACCGGAGGUGGAUCAAAGAGAAGUGGGGCAGCAAAGCGCACCUGUCGCCGGGCAUGGACAACAGGAUCAAGAUCAAAGAGCGAAUAGCCACGUGCAAUGGGGAGCAGACGCAGAACCGAGAGUCCGAGUCUCCCUACGGCCAGCGCUUGACUUUGUCGCUGUCCAGCCCCCAGCUCCUGUCUUCAGGCUCCUCGGCCUCUUCUGUGUCUUCACUUUCUGGGAGUGACGUUGAUUCAGACACACCACCCUGCACAACGCCCAGUGUUUACCAGUUCAGUCUGCAAGCACCAGCUCCUCUCAUGGCCGGCUUACCCACCGCCUUGCCAAUGCCCAGUGGCAAACCUCAGCCCACCACUUCCAGAACACUGAUCAUGACAACCAACAAUCAGACCAGGUUUACUAUACCUCCACCGACCCUAGGGGUCGCUCCUGUUCCUUGCAGACAAGCUGGCGUAGAAGGAACUGCAUCUUUGAAAGCCGUCCACCAUAUGUCUUCCCCGGCCAUUCCCUCAGCGUCCCCCAACCCGCUCUCGAGCCCUCAUCUGUAUCAUAAGCAGCACAACGGCGUGAAACUGUCCAUGAAGGGCUCUCACGGCCACACCCAAGGCGGCGGCUACAGCUCUGUGGGUAGCGGAGGUGUGCGGCCCCCUGUGGGCAACAGGGGACACCACCAGUAUAACCGCACCGGCUGGAGGAGGAAAAAACACACACACACACGGGACAGUCUGCCUGUGAGCCUCAGCAGAUAAUGGCUCCUGGCUGCGUCAGCCUCCCCCACCCCUCCGCAGACUGCCCCGCGGCCUCGGCCACCGGCAGGGGAACCGAGACCAGCACCCCGCACAUCAGCCGGGCUCGCGGCACGCCCGCCGCUGAUCACUCUGCAUGUUUCUUUGUGUGGUGGUCGCGUCCAUCUUCAAGAACAGCUCGUUGUGCUCAUCUGUGAAGCCUUGUUAAACGUGGACGUUGUUUUCUGCCUUCCCAGGAUUCUUCCUUCAGUGCUGAGGCAGGUCGGGCUCAGGAACUGCAGGGACGUGAACAUGCGCUUGCGGUUUGAGGUAGCCGUGUCUGUUCCUUCGCGGUUUGCUAUUUUCAUUUCGUGUUUGUCAAAGCAGCAGAGGAGAUCAAACCCCAUUCGUGUGUCUUUCCUCCACGGAUAGGCUUGGGAGGUCAUUGUUUUACUGCCCUCACAUUUUGUUUGAAAUUUCAGAACUGUUUUUCUAUGUAAAUAUUGAAAACUUAUGAUUUGUGCAAUAACUCAGAUAUUUUUUAUUUAAUUUCCUAUUUUCACAU
rnacentral:sRNA from 1 species